AGAGUUUGAUCCUGGCUCAGGAUGAACGCUGGCGGCGUGCCUAAUACAUGCAAGUCGAACGCUUCACUUCGGUGAAGAGUGGCGAACGGGUGAGUAAUACAUAAGUAACCUGGCAUCUACAGGGGGAUAACUGAUGGAAACGUCAGCUAAGACCGCAUAGGUGUAGAGAUCGCAUGAACUCUAUAUGAAAAGUGCUACGGGACUGGUAGAUGAUGGACUUAUGGCGCAUUAGCUUGUUGGUAGGGUAACGGCCUACCAAGGCGACGAUGCGUAGCCGACCUGAGAGGGUGACCGGCCACACUGGGACUGAGACACGGCCCAGACUCCUACGGGAGGCAGCAGUGGGGAAUAUUGCACAAUGGGGGAAACCCUGAUGCAGCGACGCCGCGUGGAGGAAGAAGGUCUUCGGAUUGUAAACUCCUGUUGUUGAGGAAGAUAAUGACGGUACUCAACAAGGAAGUGACGGCUAACUACGUGCCAGCAGCCGCGGUAAAACGUAGGUCACAAGCGUUGUCCGGAAUUACUGGGUGUAAAGGGAGCGCAGGCGGGAAGACAAGUUGGAAGUGAAAUCCAUGGGCUCAACCCAUGAACUGCUUUCAAAACUGUUUUUCUUGAGUAGUGCAGAGGUAGGCGGAAUUCCCGGUGUAGCGGUGGAAUGCGUAGAUAUCGGGAGGAACACCAGUGGCGAAGGCGGCCUACUGGGCACCAACUGACGCUGAGGCUCGAAAGUGUGGGUAGCAAACAGGAUUAGAUACCCUGGUAGUCCACACUGUAAACGAUGAUUACUAGGUGUUGGAGGAUUGACCCCUUCAGUGCCGCAGUUAACACAAUAAGUAAUCCACCUGGGGAGUACGACCGCAAGGUUGAAACUCAAAGGAAUUGACGGGGGCCCGCACAAGCAGUGGAGUAUGUGGUUUAAUUCGACGCAACGCGAAGAACCUUACCAAGUCUUGACAUCCUGCGACGGACAUAGAAAUAUGUUUUUCCUUCGGGACGCAGAGACAGGUGGUGCAUGGUUGUCGUCAGCUCGUGUCGUGAGAUGUUGGGUUAAGUCCCGCAACGAGCGCAACCCUUAUGGUCAGUUACUACGCAAGAGGACUCUGGCCAGACUGCCGUUGACAAAACGGAGGAAGGUGGGGAUGACGUCAAAUCAUCAUGCCCUUUAUGACUUGGGCUACACACGUACUACAAUGGCGUUAAACAAAGAGAAGCAAGACCGCGAGGUGGAGCAAAACUCAGAAACAACGUCCCAGUUCGGACUGCAGGCUGCAACUCGCCUGCACGAAGUCGGAAUUGCUAGUAAUCGCAGAUCAGCAUGCUGCGGUGAAUACGUUCCCGGGCCUUGUACACACCGCCCGUCA
rnacentral:rRNA from 1 species